GCGGCACAAGACAAACGUUAGAAUUGAACAUCGUAUCAACUACUUUCAGGUCAUCAUCAUUGUUCACACUUUCAAGACUCACUUUCAAGACUCGGUGUGCUGACAGUUCCCUGUUGGAUAAAUGCCUUCAUUUUAGUGCAUAUACUAAUAUCCACUUCUUUAAGAAAUGGAAAUUCAAGAGCUUGCUUAGUCAGAAUGAAAUGCCCAGCUUUGGCAGAUCGCGAAGUUGCAGCUUAUCCAACACGGGAAAUAAGAGGUCAUUACACAUGAUUUCAUCUCCUUCUUGUUCUUCUUCUGCGAUCACUUCCAUUGAUUGGCAGUCUUGUAUCCAUAGUAUUCGGAGAUUCAGAAGACCUCUGGCCACUGACGGAGACAUCAAGUUUCUCAAUUUUCCACAAUUAUUUACUUCCAAUGUCUCAAGUUUGCUGAAAUAGGCAGUUGGAAGUUGUUGAGAGCAUAGAGAACUUAUGCUGUAAGCCUCAUAGAGUUUUAGCACUUUUAGGUUGGGACAAGAAACCUGCAAACAUUGACAAGGUGUCAACUCCAUUUCUGAUGUCUUGUAAAUAAUUACUAAUAAAAUUCUUAUUUCUGGAAUGUGUCUUAUAAUUACUAAUACAAUAUAUAAAUUAGUUGAUUUGGUUUGAUUUUAAUAAAAAGUGAACCAAAACGUUCCAUGUACAUAGAGUUUCUAACGUGCAUUUAAAAUAGAGGCAUAUUUUUAAUUUUAUUUUUAAAAGACAAUAAUUUUUUUAACCCAACCCUCACUCCCCUACUCCAACCCCCAACCCCUACUAGCCCCCCCCCCCCCCCCCCCAAAAAAAAAUAAAUCUUACAUUUGUUUUUUAAAAAGAAAUUCAAAGUUUUUUUCUUAUCCCACCUCUACCACCUAUUCUGACACACACACCUACAAACCCCCUUGUCCGAUACAUAGCUCUUCCAGGUUGGGACAAGAAAUCUUCAAACAUUGACAAGGUAUUAACUCCAUAUCCGACGUCUUUCAAAUAAUUACUAAUAAAAUUCUUAUUUUUGGUGUGUCUUUUAAUGUUAUUUUAUUAUAGUAAGUUAAAUCAUUGUUAGACUAAAUCAUUAGAUAUCAAUAAAAUGUAACUAUACGAAUAUACAAUAUAUAAAUUAGUUGUAAAAAAUGGAAUAGUUGAUUUGGUUUGAUUUUGAUAACAAGUGAACCAAAACGUCACGCGUACACAGAGUCUCUAACCGUGCAUUUAAAAUAGAGGCAUAUUUUGUAAGAAAUUCCUAAUGGCUACUCUAUUAUACUUCAAAAGAAUUUCAAAUUAUAAGUUAGAAAUAUUUUAUUAAUAUCAAUUAAAAAAAAGGCAAGAUUUAUUAACCAAAAAAUAAAAAAAUAAAAAAAAUAUUCAUACCCCACCCCUACAACCUCCCCCCAAAAAACUAAUAUUUUUAAUUAUAUAUUUUUUUUAAAAAAUAAUUAUUUUCAUCCCACCCUCACUCGCCUACCCCGACCCCCAUCCCUACUAGUCUCCCCCAAUUUUUUUUCUUAAAUUUGUUUUUUUUUUUAAAAUUCAAAUCAUUUUUCUUACCCUGCCUCUACCGCCUAUUCUGACACACACACACACCUACUAACCCCUGUCCGAAAAAAAGUUUUAACUUUUAAAUUUAUUUUUAAAAAAAUUCAAAACUUUUUUUCUUAUCCACUCUACUUAUCUGAUUUGUUCUCCUGUUUUAUGUUAAAAAAUACAAAUAGUUUUAGAAAAUAUUUUCCUACUUUCAUAACGAACACAAGAAUAUAAAUAAGAAACAACUUAUUUUCCUAAAAAAUAUUUUCCUCCUCCACAUCGAACACACCCUAAAGAAAAUAUUUUUCAAGAUCAAAAAUUAUUUUCUAAAAAAGUACUUUCUACUCUUUAGCUAAACAUUAAAAUUUAUUUUCUAAAAAAUAUUUUUCAUUCACAAACCAAAUAUAAAAAAAUAAGUAAGAAACCAACUUAUUUUUCAUGAAAUUUUUUAGGAAAUAUUUUUUACUCACCAACCAAACAUAAGAAAAAAUCAAAAAACCAACUUAUUUUUCAUUAAAACAUUUUCUUGGAAAAUAUUUUCCAUCAUACCAAAUACACCCUAAGUGAUAAGUUGAGAAGCCAAAAAUGCUAUAUAUUAAUACAGAUAAAAAGUCUAUGGAAAAAAGUUAUUGAAUUCACGUGAACCCUUGGAUUAUAAUAUUGUAGAUUCACUUAUGUUUGUUACCUCCAUCAACAUAGGUAUUAGGUGACCAAAACAAAAAAAAAACUAUAUGAAGAUUACUAUUACUAUUAGAUUAAAGAGGUGAAAACACCCCCAAAACUUGACGCGAAUUACUACUCUCAUCCCCGAAAUAUGCCUAGUACUUAAAAUACCCCUAUGCUUGACUAAAUGAACUUAAAAAUGCCCCCUAUUUCUUACCUGAGUGGCAUGGUUUUAGUCUAGAAAUCUUCUAUAAACUCCAAAUCUUUGGCUUGCUUUGUAAUUGUCUGUAGUUUAUUUAGUGUGGGUGUGCUUAAUUAUUGAAUUUGGAUUAGGAAAUUCGUUGAGUUUUCAAAUUCUUUGUCAUCAAGACUAUUAAACAAGCAAUCAAACAUGAUGAUCUGCUUAUGCGGCAUUUUUCAUAAGCACCUCGCGUGCAAAAAAGAGGUUGAGACCACUUGCUAAGUCAGCUGGCUGAUCAUGGGCGUUUUUAAAUUGAUUUAGUCAAGUCUAUGGAUGUUUUAAAUACUAGGCAUAGUUCAAGACAAAAAUAAUAAUUCAAGCUAAGUUUGGAAGUGUUUCCACCUCUUCACUCUAACUAUUACUAUUUGCUAGUUAAAUCAGAAAGAGAGCAGUUGACCAGGGGUCUGUUAAUGCAUGACGCAAAUAUAUAUAGCAUUUAGUUAUAAAGCGGCGCAAGACAAACCUUAGAAUUGAACAUCGCUUUAUUGAGAUCAACAACUUUCAGCUCAUCAUCACUGUUCACACUUUCGAGACUCGGUGUGCUGACAGAUCCUUGUUGGAUAAAUGCCUUCAUUUUAAGGCAUACACGAAUAUCCACUUCUUUAAGAAAUGGAAAUUUAAGAGCAUGCUUAGUCAGAAUGAAAUGCCCCAACUUUAGCAAAUUGUGAAGUUUCAGCUUUUCCAAUCGGGGAAAUAAGGGUUCAUGACACAUGAUUUCAUCUCCUUGUUGUUCCUCUUCUGUGAUCACUUCUUCAAUUGAUUGGCAGUAUCCUAUAUAUAGCAUUCGGAGAUUCAGAAGACCUCUGGCCACUGAUGGAGACAUCAAGUUUCUCAGUUUUCCACAAUUUUCUACUUCCAAGGCUUCAAGUUUGCUGAAGGAGGCAGUUGGAAGUUCGUGAGAGCACAGAGCAGUUAUGCUAUUGGCCUCAUAGAGUUUUACCACUUCCAGGUUGGGACAAGAAACCUGCAAAUGUAUCAUGGGAUGAAAUUUCAGUAGUGCUUCAAGUACAAAAUGGAAUAUGAACCAUAUCUCAUCUUACAUCUUGGUAACAACAGGUGAAAAUCUAAUUACUUAAAGAAAUGCCCCAGCUUCAAGUGACAAGUAUAUACAACUAUCUGAAGAUUACUAUUAUUAUUCGCAGGUUAAAACGGGAAAAAGAGAAGUAGACCAGGGGUGUAUUAAUGAAUGACACAGGUAUAUAGUUAAACCGCAGCACAAGACAAACCUUAGAAUUGAACAUCGUAUCAACUACUUUCAGGUCAUCAUCAUUGUUCACACUUUCAAGACUCGGUGUGCUGACAGUUCCUUGUUGGAUAAAUGCCUUCAUUUUAGUGCAUAUACUAAUAUCCACUUCUCUAAGAAAUGGGAAUUCAAGAGUUUGCUUAGUCAGAAUGAAAUGCCCCAGCUUUGGCAGAUCGCGAAGUUGCAGCUUAUCCAACACGGGAAAUAAGAGGUCAUUACACAUGAUUUCAUCUCCUUGUUCUUCUUCUUCUACGAUCACUUCUUCCAUUGAUUGGCAUGCUUUUAUCCAUAGUGUUCA
rnacentral:lncRNA from 1 species